rnacentral:lncRNA from 1 species
UAUCUCGUUUAGUAAUUUCUGUUCUCUAUCUUUUUCUUCUUUUUCUUUUUGUCUUUGUUCAUACAACUCUUUUAAUAUUUGUAGUUCUUUUUCUAAUUCAGCAAUCCUACUAUUUUUAGUUUCUUCUAUUUUUCGUAUUUCUUCCGUAGUUUGUUGUUUUAUCUUUUCUAUUUCCUGUUUCCUAUCUAUUUCUUCAUUUUUUUUUUCUAUUCUUACCAUUGCUGUCAAUUUAUCUUCUAAUUUUAAUUCUUCUUUUUCUAACAUUAGAUAUAAAUGUUCACCUAUUUUCUUAUAUCUUCUUCCU